UACAGGGGGUGCAAACGUUGCUCGGAAUCAUUGGGCGUAAAGCGCACGUAGGCGGUUCGUUAUGUCGGAUGUGAAAGCCCUUGGCUUAACCGAGGAAGUGCAUCCGAAACUGGCGAGCUAGAGUACGAAAGAGGAUCGCGGAAUUCCUGGUGUAGCGGUGAAAUGCGCAGAUAUCAGGAGGAACACCGGUGGCGAAGGCGGGUCUCUGGGCAACAACUGACGCUGAGGAGCGAAAGCGUGGGGAGCGAACAGG
rnacentral:rRNA from 1 species